rnacentral:lncRNA from 1 species
CAUAACUUGGGUAUAAUAUUCAAAUGAUGGCUAUUUAGAUAGAGUAUUUUUCUUUCACAGAAACAUGCUCCAAGCAGUGCUGUGUUCGGAGUAGCAGGAUUACUUUCAGAGAUGAAGAUCUGGAAACAGAAAGAGAAGCUGAAAUUGAGAACUACAAAAAUCUAUGCAACUUAAAUUUAGGAAGACCAUCAUCAAGACAGCAAGAGAAAUGCUGGAAAAAGAAGUCCUCAAGCUGUAACCACUAUUUUCUUUCCAUGACUGACCCUUGUGUGCAUUUUCUUAAGAGCUCUGCAGGCUCCUGUCCUGCGGUGUGGGCAGGCACCCACAGCACUGCCCGCAGUAAUGGACCAGUGCUCCCAAGGCCUGGAACAGACCAACCCCCGCAGUCUGGAUUCGGUGAUCUGCUCUGGCUACCACUUGUGACAACACCCUGGAGAAGAUAUCUAGUGAGAGGGAGAGCUCAGCUCCUGGGGAAGAAAUUGCUGAUCCUUGAGAGGCAGCUAGAGCAGCAAAGAUUUUUUUGCUGAUAAACCACCGAUGGAGAAGCCCUCCCUUCCCCACUUCCCAUCUCAACCGCUGUCAUUUAAUUUGCAAAAGCUUGUCCCUGUCCCUAUCAGCAUUUAUUUAAGUACAUCUCUGCUGCGCCUGAGUGAUUUAUCUAAACAUCGGCAGCUACUGUAAGUGACGGAACAGCAAAGCAGUGGCAGAGGAAGGAGUGGAGAGGUUGAAAUGUAACUUCCCUCUUGUGAAAUCAAGCACAGGUGACUGUUCUGAGCAACUCCAGUGUAUUUACAUCAGUCACAGGCAGAAAGAAAAAAAGAAGGCAUUUCAGAGCCUGCUCAGACAUUUGAGACCAU